CCCCUAGAUGUUCUGGGCCGCACGCGCGCUACACUGAUGCAUUCAACGAGCACACGCUUGGCCGAGAGGUCAGGCUAAUCUUUGAACGUGCAUCGUGCUGGGGAUAGAUGAUUGCAAUUAUUCAUCUUCAACGAGGAAUUCCUAGUAAACGCAAGUCAUCAGCUUGCAUUGAUUACGUCCCUGCCCUUUGUACACACCGCCCGUCGCACCUACCGAUUGAAUGGUCCGGUGAAAUUCUCGGACGCGAACGACAGAUGUUCAUUCGGAUGUCGUUUGUGAAAGUUAAUUAAACCUUACCAUUUAGAGGAAGGUGAAGUCGUAACA
rnacentral:rRNA from 1 species